rnacentral:rRNA from 1 species
GAUGAACGCUAGCUACAGGCUUAACACAUGCAAGUCGAGGGGUAACGAGAGGAAAGCUUGCUUUCCUUGUCGACGACCGGCGCACGGGUGAGUAACGCGUAUCCAACCUGCCCCCAACUAGGGAAUAACCUUGCGAAAGUAAGACUAAUACCCUAUAAUUUCCUCAGAUGUCAUCUGACGAGGAAUAAAGAUUUAUCGGUGGUGGAUGGGGAUGGGUCUGAUUAGCUUGUUGGCGGGGUAACGGCCCACCAAGGCAACGAUCAGUAGGGGUUCUGAGAGGAAGGUCCCCCACAUUGGAACUGAGACACGGUCCAAACUCCUACGGGAGGCAGCAGUGAGGAAUAUUGGUCAAUGGGCGGAAGCCUGAACCAGCCAAGUAGCGUGCAGGAUGACGGCCCUAUGGGUUGUAAACUGCUUUUAUACAGGAAUAAAGUUAGCCACGUGUGGUUAUUUGUAGGUACUGUAUGAAUAAGGACCGGCUAAUUCCGUGCCAGCCGCCGCUGUAA